rnacentral:rRNA from 1 species
CCUACGGGUGGCAGCAGUGGGGAAUAUUGGACAAUGGGCGAAAGCCUGAUCCAGCCAUGCCGCGUGUGUGAAGAAGGCCUUCGGGUUGUAAAGCACUUUCAGUGGGGAAGAAAGCCUUGGGGCUAAUACCCUCGAGGAAGGACAUCACCCACAGAAGAAGCACCGGCUAACUCCGUGCCAGCAGCCGCGGUAAUACGGAGGGUGCGAGCGUUAAUCGGAAUUACUGGGCGUAAAGCGCGCGUAGGCGGUCUGAUAAGCCGGUUGUGAAAGCCCCGGGCUCAACCUGGGAACGGCAUCCGGAACUGUCAGGCUAGAGUGCAGGAGAGGAAGGUAGAAUUCCCGGUGUAGCGGUGAAAUGCGUAGAGAUCGGGAGGAAUACCAGUGGCGAAGGUGGCCUUCUGGACUGACACUGACGCUGAGGUGCGAAAGCGUGGGUAGCAAACAGGAUUAGAUACCCCAGUAGUC